UGACAAUCAUUGUUUAUUCUGUUCCAAAGGGACGUAGCAGGCCAUUUCCUCACAUGACCUUUCAUUGGCCCUAAUAUUCAGGCCCAUAUGGAGGAAAGGCAAACAGCCACAGAAAAUCAUGUGGCUACUUCACAUUUAGUCUCAUGAGUGUUCACUGGCAUGAUUAAACAAUACAUCUACACUCUCAGCUAGGGAAAACCUGUUUCCUUUAUAUUUGCUGCUAUAUAUAUUUAAUAACUAUUAAUCACUAUAUACGAGGUACAAGUACAAGCAAAUGAACUGAACUAUAUUUUCCUUGAGAAGGAAGGGAUUGAAAACUACCAACAACUGUGCUAAAGUAUUACAAAGUUCCUCUAAUCGAGCCAUCAAAAGGAGUGUCCUUUAUUUAUGGCAUACAUUAUUUGGAAUCUAAUUGGAUUUUUAAUGUGGUGGUUGGGGCAGGGGUCUGUGUUUAGUUUUUUCUUUUUCCCUUUUUUUUUCCUUUUAGACUGGAUGAGGGGCACACAGUGAGAAGCUGGCUUCAUGGGAGGAGAAAUCUAUCAAAUGGAAAAUGAACAAAUACAAAACCCUCUGUUUCUGUCCAAUGUCUAUAACCACAGCAUGAUAAGACAGGGAAGGGUCAUCUGACUAUGUGGUUGAUUUCUCCAAUAUUCCUCACUGAUUUCCUCUUUUUGUAUAAUCUCUUGCUAUUACGAUAAAACGGCACCAGAUCAUGUUGAGAUGAAUCAUCCAUCUCCUUAAAUGUCUAUUUAGGAGUUAACAGAAGUUACCAGAAGUAACUCUGGUUGAAAGCUCAUCUACUUAUAGCCCUCGUUCGUUAUGAAAAUUCUUGAAACCUCAACCAAAGCCUAUCUUCAGACAAGACCACAACACACUGCCAGGAAACGCCUUUUCAGCGGAGGGGACUCACACAAAGGCAGUUUUCUCUUCUUUUGUUCUGGGAGGAAAAGGGGCAUUUGGCCACUCAGAAUGAGAGUUCAGACAGACUCUCCUGGGGAACAAGUGUUUUGCCUACGAAUUGCCUGGGUAGCUCUGAGCUGGGGAAGUGAGCAAGCUCCUCUGAGUUCCUUCUCCUUAUACAGGUUAAAAAAGUACAGAAGUGGAGAGAAGGAAACCAGUGAGACACAGCCCAGGACCAAGGAGCACUCUCUGGGAAGUCCAGACAGGCAGCAGGACCUGUCUAUCAUCGGAGGAGUACAUCACACUCUCUUUCUCUCUGCACAUCUCUGGGUGUGCCCUCUGUCCCGCCUUUGGCUCCCUGAGGACCUCUUCACUGACCACUGCCAGGCCCAGCUCACAAGUCAGCGCCUUUGUGGAACUUGUGCUGACGUCUGUCCCCUGCGUUUGUGGCUCCUUCGUCUGAUCUCUCAGAGUGCCUGGCACGUACCUGUGGAAUAGAGCCUCUAUCUCAUGCGAUUGUAAUUUGUUGUAUUCUUUUCUAUACUCUUUUAAGGCUGAAUCUACCCUUUCCAUCUUUGUAAUCCAACCACCUAUUGUAAUGCUCACUUUUUGGUGCAAGGUAGAUACGCAAUAAAUGCUAUUUUGAGUAAAAGAGCUAACGUUUG
rnacentral:lncRNA from 1 species